ensembl:misc_RNA Metazoa_SRP Metazoan signal recognition particle RNA
GCCAGGCAUGGUGGCGCAUGCCUAUAGUCCCAGCUACUUGGGAGGCUGAGGCAGGAGGAUCACCUGAGCCUGGGGAGGUCAAGGCUGCAGUGAGCCAAGAUUGUGCCACUGCACUCCAGCCUGGGUUACAGAGUGAGACCUUGUCUCAA